GACUUUAUCUUUGUAAUUUGCCUACUAACUUAAAGCCACAAAUGAAUUCACAUGAACUAAAUGUUCGGGCACAAAGAAUCAAAAUUAUUUUCGAUUGAUGCAAAGAAUCACUGAUUUAUUUGCAAUACAAACGGUCAAGCAAGACAUCCUGCAGAUUUAACGCUCAUAAAUGUAAACUGAAUUGUAUACCACAUGAGUACAUUUCAGUUCUUGAUAAAGUAUAAGAGACAAUGUUGAACUAGACCUGAAAUCAAUUUUGAAUCUGAUUACACCCCUGUUUCACUAUUGUUCAUAUAAAUGCGUCAGUAUUUUCUGUAGCAAUUUGAGGUUAAAAAUCUAGUGACAGUCAACGUUUUCAUUGUACAAUGCAUGGGAUAUGUGAAUGAAACUAUUGGUUAUAUUUUGAGUGUUUGCAUUGAUUAGAUCCAGUGCGGCGACCUGAGCUUGAUUGGGGCAGACGCUUCAAUAUUAUUCAAGGUGUUGCUAGAGGGCUUCUUUAUCUCCACCAUGAUUCCUAUUUGAAGGUAAUACAUAGAGAUUUGAAGGUCAGUAACAUUCUCCUGGAUGAGAACAUGAACCCAAAAAUUUCAGAUUUUGGAUUGGCACGUAUCGUUCAAGGGACACAGAAUCUAACAAAUACUCAGAAGGUUGUGGGAACACUUGGCUAUAUGUCUCCGGAGUAUGCCAUGGGCGGGAUAUUUUCUGAAAAGUCUGAUGUCUAUAGCUUCGGGGUC